UGGGUUAAAAGAAAUCAUUAACUUAUAGUCUGCUUUUAAAAAGUAAUUAAGAAAAAAAGAAAAGAAAAGAAAUAGUUUUGUUGUCUGCUUGUGGUGUAAAUGUUUGGUCAAAGCCCUUCCCUUUAGGUGAAGUAACCUUGACCCACUCAUUAUUUUGGUUAUCAUUUCACUCUGAAGUUAGGGUUUAUGAUUCUUUUAUUGUAUUGUAUUGGGGUUAGCUUUCUGCAGCUUAGGCUUUCACUAUGAAAUUACGACUUGGUACAAGCCGUGGGUCGAAGUAUGCUUUUUUUUAUCAUAAUUGAUGCAUGCAUGGGAAAGAUCAUCAUCAUGGUCACCAUCUGUAUUGGGCUCCGGUCACGUGCACCUUUGGAUUCUUAUCUCUGUUAACACAGCCUACACCUCGUCCCUCUCGACCCCUCCCCAUGUGAGCUCGAGCUCCCCUCCAAAAAGGACUUUCAUUGUCGUAUUUAAUAUCGAAAAUACCACUUUGUCAUUUAGCUUCGAGAAAACGGCUCCCGUGCGUUUGUGUGGGUAACUCUGAAGAGAGAGGCCGAGGCUGAGAGGCUCAGGGAUGAUGUCACACGUACGGAUGGGUCAUGGGUUCUUGAUGUUCUUCCCAAUACAUACUUCCCCUUUUAUCUCUGUUUCUUUUUCUUGUGUUGUCUUUGAUCUGGCCGCGUUAUUGUAAUGUAAAAGACCAACCUUAGAACAUGCUACACACAUUUUUACCGUAAAAAAUAUGAAUCAAGUCCUGACUAUUCUCUUCUCCCACUAUGCCAUUAGAAAUAUAAACCAAGUGGUAAGAAUUUAAGGCACAGUAUAUACUGUCAGUGCUUUAACUCGGGCAUGUCUUGUAUAUUAUAAUGCUUGUUGUCAUUGUAUUCUGCUGCUUUUAUCAGAUGUUCAUCUUGAAGGAUGUUAAUGGCAUUAGAAACUUUAUUCGAUGAAAGUUGCUUGAAGGGCAUAAAUCUCAUACUCUGUCCCCCAGUUUCUCUUAUCUUGAACAAAGAUGAUAACUUAUAAAUCUAUGACAUUCUGGUAGGAUCCAUCAAGUAUAAUCUGUAAUCUUACAACAUUGGUGACUAUUCUCAAUCAACCUUAUUGGUAAUUUGGUCUACCAUUUAGAGAUUGCGACAGUUUGGUUGAUGGGGUAUUGUACCCCAAAAUGAAUGGGAAAAGAGCUAAAACACAAAGCAGAGCACUAGCUACUUUCUAGGAAAACAUUGCUUUCCAGUUUUCUUUUUAGGGCUUUCCCUUUUCCUUUAUGAGUUUCAGACUGGUAAGCAUCAGAAUUCCACACCUAGAACUGAAAACAUCGUGGAAACCAGGACACAAAACCUCCUUGUCCACCUGUGUGAACUGAAAACCUCUGCCUAGAUGCAAGUGAUGAGCUUUAUCGUUAUCCUAGCACAAGUGUCCAAAGGCUUUGUUGUGGCAAAAGGUAAGGGCAUUAUUGUCGCUAUAAGUUUUUAACACCGGGGCCCAUAUAAGCGGACCCUACCCUCACUUGGUUACAUAAACUUACAUUUUGCUAAAGACAGAGCCACCCCCUCUCUCUCUGUGGCUCUGCAGUCUGUACCUCUGAAGCCACAGCCCAACGAUACCACCAACCAAAGAUCUUCUUCAUCCAAUAGUCUCCUCCAUUCGAUUGACUGUCCCAAAAAAGGUCACACACGUAUUUCACCUCCAAUGGCCGAAACAAAUUGAAAGAUUACCGAGAAAAAUUGAAAAUGGAAUCAGGGAGACCACAUCGCACAGCAAGCACUAAUAGCAGUAGCACCAGCGAGCUAUUCAUCUGCUUCACCUCGCGGCUUUCCUCCUCUUCCUCCAUGAAGCUCUCCAAAUCCAUCCUCAGCCCAGGCCGUACAAGAGAACCAUCCCAAAUCUCUCUCUCCUCCUCUCUAAGCCGAAGAUUGAAAAGCAGUGGUAGCAUGAAGGGCGGCCAGGCAUCGCCAAUGUUCCCAACUGGGGGCAAGAAACGAGGGUGCGCUUUCGAAAACCCGGAGCCUUCGUCCCCCAAAGUCACCUGUAUUGGCCAGGUGAGAGUCAAGACCAAGAAGCAUGGGAAAAAGAUGAGAACGAGAUCGAAAAGAAGAGGCGAAGCGAGCUUCCGGAUAGUGGAGCAGCAAAAUGCGACAGUUGUCACACAUCAAGAGCUUAACAUUCAGAAUAAUGCGACUAGUCAGUUUCAAAGCCACCAGAUUUUACAACAACAGCAUCAGGAGUGCUUGCCGCAUCGGAACCAAAGAUGGGUACAUCUACCAGUAACAAUUUGCGAAGCUUUGAGGGCUUUCGGUGCUGAGUUUAAUUGUUUCCUGCCGUGUCGGUCUUCUUGUAUGACAAGCGAGAGGGAAAAGGAAGAAAAGGCCGCAAGAUCGGACGGCGGUGAGAGUGGAAAUGUCAGUUCUUGUGGGGCUGUGUUUGGGAGGUGGCUGGUGACAAUGCAAGAAGGGGAAGACAAGGGGAGGGAGAUAGAGUUAGUAGUGGGAGAGGAAGACGGAGUGACGGAUAGGAGUCAGAGUCUGCGGAGGAGGGAGAUUUUUGAUGGGGGCUUUGAGAUCAAGGAGCAGGGGAAUGAGGUUGCUGAAGAAGAGGAAGCAAGGGUGAGUAUUUGUAUUCCUCCCAAGAACGCUCUGUUGCUCAUGAGGUGCAGAUCUGACCCAGUGAAAAUGGCGGCCUUGGCGAAUCGAUUUUGGGAGUCCCCGGUUCAGAAAGAUGAGGACGGCGAUGAAGAUGAGCGUCAGAAAGAUGAGGGAGAAGACCAAGGGGAUGUGGUAGUGGGUGAAGAAAGGCAAGGUAAAGUUGAGGUGGAAACAGAGGUAGAGGGGGAUGAGAUUCGUGAAAAGCGGGUUUCUGAUGGUGAAGAGUAUUCACACAUGAUUAUUGAGGAACAAGACGGGGGUGUAGAAGAAAACCCAGAAAGGAGCCUAGAAUAUGUCAAUGAGCUACAAGAACACCGAUUGGAGCAAGAUGACGACGAAGACGACGAUGAUGCAGAAGAAGACGUAGAAGACGAGGAAGAAGAAGAGUUAGAGUUGUGCCGGGUGGUACCAGCAGAAGAAUCUCAGUUGAGUUCCUCACCUGAAGCUCUCGUAGCUCGAGAGAACUCAGAGACGGAACAAAAUAUGCACAAGCUUGUUCAAAAGGAUGAGGAAGUCCACCAAAAUGAAGCCGAGGCGGCUCAUGAAGAACCAGAAGCAGAAGAUGACAAAGUGGCUAGCUUUUCAACUUCUUCUGUAAUUUCGGCACAGUCUGAGCAAGAAUCAGAAGCGCAAGAAGAAGGGCAAGAAGAGAAGACUGGAGCUUUAGCCAAAGAAGCAGAUGAGUCAAAGGAGGAGAAAGAGACGCAAGAGAGGCCUCGGGAAGACGGAGAGAUAGCGACCCACGAAAAACCCAAACCCGAAGUACGGAGUACCAACGAAGAUAAUCCGAGUUUAGAGUCAAAGACACGAGAAAGUCGAUCAAAGUCAGAGAGAGGGAGUUCGGGCUUGCCGGAUUGCUUGCUGUUAAUGAUGUGCGAGCCGAAGCUGUCCAUGGAGGUCUCCAAAGAAACCUGGGUUUGCAGUACGGACUUCAUCCGAUGCCUCCCAGAGAGACCGGUCAACAAAACGAACGGCGGAGAUGUGAUCAAGAAACGAGUCAGCACCGAGGACUCCAAUCCAACGUAUCCCGCGCAGCAGCAGCCGCCUCGAUCUUCGUGUUCGUUUCCUAUUGCGGCGGCUCCGGGAGCCGGCGCUUCGAUGGCUGGCAUGAUAGAGCAGAAGCUGGUGGGGUCCAACGGGUACGAGCCGUUCGUGCUGACACGGUGCAAAUCGGAACCAAUGAGGCCGUCGAGAAAGUUCGCACCGGAUGCUUGUUUCUGGAAGAAUCGGAAGCUGGAGCCUCACCGCCCGGCGACGUUUGGGGUGGGCGCGGCUGGGGUCGGAUUCUGAGCCGAGCUUUAUGAGAUGUGAACAAGAACAACGGCAAAUACUGCAGAACAAAAAGAAGAAAAAGUAAGACCAGUACAGUACAUUUGGCUUCAGAAGGACACAUGCUGGAUUUUUUGGACAGCUUCCUAUUGGCCUAAUUACUACAUGCUUGAAGUUUCUCAAUGAGUAAGUACCCUUUGGUGAUCCACUUGUACAGGAAAAAGAUACUGCAGGGCUUUUUACAUUAUCGUGCAUCAUUUGACCUUUGAUCCCCCUUGCUGCUGCUUACUUCAGUAGUAUUUGUGGCACUCUCAGCUGCUAAAUUUGGUGGCCCAUCACCUUUGCUUUGGUUUUCUAUAUUGGUAGAACCUUCCAUAAUGGAAUAAAUGGCGAGUUGACCAGAAUGAAGAAAUAAACCAAUAGAGUUGGCGCAAAAAACAAAGUUUGCAAGGUAGCACAACCCAUUUACAAUAGUCCUGCCAACAGCAAAAACAGAUGAUAAUGAGUUUUUUCACAUCAACAUGUGCUGGAAGGGAGUAGUAGUAGGAACUACCUCAUGGUUAUAGUUAUGGAGGACCUAAAAGAUUGGAAACAAGAGCAGUAUCAGAAUUAUAUGAUGACCAUCUCAAGACAUAUCAAUCAUCUCAAGCUUUUCUUGAACAGGCAAGGAUACUAUGUGUUAUGUAAAGAUAACAUGAAAGGUGUUUGUUGUGGAUUUUCCUUCAUUGGUGUUUAGGAAAGACCUCUGUCACAUGCAUCUGCAUAAAAAAUAAUUUCUCCCAUUUUGUUUUCUUGUAGACAACAAAUUGAUUACAGACAACUAUGCAUGUAUCACUGUCACAUGGUUUUGUAAUUAAAACAUGAGUUCGAUGGGACCCUCCUCAGCUGCAGAGGUGGAUGUUGGUUCAGGAACCUGGGCAAGCCAUGUCUCGGGUCUUGCUCGAGGGAGGGCUAAGAGAUGGUGGAGAGCAAUGGGUGUGUAAGGGAAGUUUAUAAGAACAGAUGAGGAAAGAGAGCAGUUGCGGAUGUGAGGGAAGGAGCCAGGGAAGUUGAGGCUCAGAAAGUGGCAGGAUUAAAGACUGCAACAUUUGAGGUUUUUCACGUUAUGGAUCAGUCACUUUUCGGCUAUUGUUGAUUGAAUUUGCGUUCCAUGAAACGGUUAUAAGACGUUGCUCCUGUUUUGAAAUGGAAGACAGAUACUAAAAUAUCUGGCAUGAAUUUUAGACUUU